UACGGAGGGGGCUAGCGUUGUUCGGAAUUACUGGGCGUAAAGCGCACGUAGGCGGACUGUUAAGUCGGGGGUGAAAUCCUGGGGCUCAACCUCAGAAUUGCCUCCGAUACUGGCAGUCUCGAGUGCGGGAGAGGUGAGUGGAAUUCCCAGUGUAGAGGUGAAAUUCGUAGAUAUUGGGAAGAACACCAGUGGCGAAGGCGGCUCACUGGACCAUAACUGACACUCACAGGACGAAAGCUAGGGGAGCGAAUGGG
rnacentral:rRNA from 1 species